CAUUACAGGAAAAUGAUAUUCUUUUGUUUUAAGUUUUACUACAGGUACAUCUAUCUUUCAUAAAUAUAGGGCAAAUAAUUUUCAUAUUCAAUUAUUAUCUUAUUCCGCAUUUGUUGGCGUUUCUGAAAAAAAUAUAAAUGGAAUGACGUAAAGAAAUAAAUGCGUUUUCAACGCAUGCAGUAUCUGAUUGGAAUGCAGCGAACGAUUAUUAUAUAAGGAGAGAGAAUGAUCAUCUGUAUCAGUUACCUCGAACCUUUUUUCGUGUCUUUCAAACACCUCAAGCUUACAGAGGUCCUUUGGUGAACCCAUUGCGCCCAUCAACUACAGCAGGCGGGCCAUACACACACCCUGAAUCUGAUAUAAUAAGGAGAGAGGAUGAUCAUCUGUUUCAGGUACCUCGAAAUACCCCUCGUGUUUUCCAAGCAUCCCGAGCGUACAGAGGUCCUUUGGUGAACCCAUUACGCCCAAAUACUGCAGCAGGGCGUCCAUACACGUACUGCGAAUCCGAUAUCGUUAACUUUUGGUACUGAUCAGAGGAGGCCAUCGUUAAAGUAAAAAAAUAUUCCAUUUUCCACUUAUCGUUCCGUUCCUUUUUCUAUUAUCACAAUUGACUUUCCCAUUUUUAUUUGAUUUAUAAAAAGCCAGUUCUAAAAAGCUAUCAGGCUAAGAUGUCACUGAGUUUCUGUACCAUAUAACAUACAUUUCGCAGGCCUUAGGAUCACACUCGAUAUUUUUAGGUGCAAUACAAUCGAUCCAACCUAUCAGCUAGUGCACCGGACAAAUAAAUUGCACUUUUCUUGUUUUUUUUUUGUUUUCGUUUUUAGGUUUUUUAUAUAAAAUUGAUUGUAUUUGUUUUUUUUGUGUUUUACACAUUUUUUUACAUUCCGUUUUAUUUUUAGUUACUUUUACAACCUAAUUUUGGAGGCCUCAUUUUGCCCAUCGUUAAAAGCUUUUUAGUGAUAGCAUCACAGUUAACUAGGAAAACACCAAUGACAUCAAACGUGUGAUUACUUCAAUAUAGUUUGCUUUAUCAUGUGUUAUAAUGCAUAGUA